rnacentral:rRNA from 1 species
AUUGAACGCUGGCGGCAUGCUUUACACAUGCAAGUCGAACGGCAGCGCGGGCUUCGGCCUGGCGGCGAGUGGCGAACGGGUGAGUAAUGCAUCGGAACGUGCCCAGUAGUGGGGGAUAGCCCGGCGAAAGCCGGAUUAAUACCGCAUACGACCUGAGGGUGAAAGCGGGGGACCGAAAGGCCCCGCGCUAUUGGAGCGGCCGAUGUCGGAUUAGCUAGUUGGUGGGGUAAAGGCUUACCAAGGCGACGAUCCGUAGCUGGUCUGAGAGGACGACCAGCCACACUGGGACUGAGACACGGCCCAGACUCCUACGGGAGGCAGCAGUGGGGAAUUUUGGACAAUGGGGGCAACCCUGAUCCAGCCAUGCCGCGUGCGGGAAGAAGGCCUUCGGGUUGUAAACCGCUUUUGUUCGGGAAGAAAUCCUCUGGGCUAAUACCCCGGGGGGAUGACGGUACCGGAAGAAUAAGCACCGGCUAACUACGUG